rnacentral:rRNA from 1 species
GUGGAUUAGAUACCCUGGUAGUCCUAGCCCUAAACGAUGCUCAUUAGGUGUGGGAGGUAUCGACCCCUUCCGCGCCGUAGCUAACGCAUUAAAUGAGCCGCCUGGGGAGUACGGCCGCAAGGUUGAAACUCAAAGGAAUUGACGGGGGCCCGCACAAGCGGUGGAGCAUGUGGUUUAAUUCGACGCAACGCGAAGAACCUUACCUGGGCUUGAACUACUCGUGGUAAGUCUCUGGAAACAGAGGCUGACCCGCAAGGGAGCGAGCAGAGGUGCUGCAUGGUCGUCGUCAACU